GACCAAAGAAGCUAGUGCCAGUCUCCUUCCAAAGUUCCAUUUCACCCUCCUUGGUAUGUGGCUUCCAACUGCAAAACUAUCUUGUGGUCCAAGGUGACUGCUGGAGCACAGCCAACGUGUCUGCAUUCCAGGUAAAAAGAAGGAUAAAGGUGAAAGGGCAAGAGUGAGCAGGCCAGUGCAUCCCUCUUUCAAGGUGCUUCCCUGAAGGCUCCACCCAGCAUGUCCUGCUAAACUCAGUGACCAGGAUACAGGCAUGGCCACACCAUUUGCAACGAAAGCUGAGGGAUUUGGAUUUUGUAGCCGGACUCAUUGUUAUUCCCCAUAAAAUAAAGGUUCUAUGGCUAAGGAUGAAAAUUGGGUGGGGCCUGGGGGUAGAUCAUAAUCUCCAACACAAUAAAGUGAAAUUGAUGAUUAAUGUGUGUUCCUAACCUCAGAUUUUUGCAAUUUCUCAGAUACCUGGAGAUCUAUCUGCCUCCGAUUAAAACCUCUUGAUGUAAUGAUUGACAGUUCUCCAUUACCUCGCUUCUAUUUUUUAUUUCCAAGCUCCAUAAAUUAGGUGGGGGCAGUGGGGAUGGUUUAUAAAAACAGCAUUCACUUAGCUGUUGGCUGCUGGGGCUGACCAACCACUUGUCUAAAGCAUCCCCGGGACUCUCUGUUCCUUCCCAGUAAAUGGAGCUGUUAGUGAACUAGCACGGAGCCAGCUGUGGGGAAUGAGAUCAAGACACAUUCUGUGCCAAAUAUGUAAAACAAGAUGCUUUCCAUGGCGAACACUCUUCUAAGGGGCCACUGGUCUGCUUCAGCCAGGACAGGAGUGAUAUUUUGAAUCCUAAGGAGACUGGAGAGAAAAAGAGAGGAGGUCUUGCAGAAGCAUCUGGAAGACAUUUCGAAGAGAAAGCGGGCAUGAGAGGGGAUGCUUUUGCCCAAGUGACUUUUUGGGAAACAAAGUUAAUUUAGCUCUGGAAGAUGCACCCUGGGGGAGAAGAGGGAAUGGUUCGUGAUGUCCCUGAGGGGGACAGGAGGGCAUGGGGGUGGCAGGGACAGCCUGCAGGUGGAGGACACAAUGGAAGGCCGUGUGAGCCACCAGGAGGGUUGCUGUCUCCCAGGUGACAGGGCAGCAGGGGCAGAAGAAGGGGAGAGCCUCCGUCUCCAUCCACGUGCACAAAGGAAGAGUCCAGGUGUUUCUGUCCAACCAAGGGACUUUCAUCUGUCUUGUCCCGUAAGGUCGAAGAAUGGCAAGAAAGUCUAUGAGUCGUUGAUUCAUCUGUGGUGCAUUCAAGAAGCGAGUCCAAUACUCUCAUGUAGAUAACCAAGAAAAUGUGUUUUCGCUUGGUCUAAAUGGACGUAGAGGAUUCGUAAGGAGCGCUGAGUCUCCCAGGCAGCAUGCUGGCCAGGGGAGUCCUGAGGGGACAGAGGAGAGGACUCUGGAAUCUGAGACGGUAAAUAAAGAUUGGAAGAGGUGGUGAACA
rnacentral:lncRNA from 12 species